CUAAACAUCCGUAGUCUCAUUCCACUGACGUUGCGCGAACGCAACACUCGCUUUUUGCACAGGCCCAAUACAAAUCACAGUUUACAGCUGCUACUGACACUGCAUGGAAAAUGAACAUUAAAGAUGAAACAGAAUCAUCAGAACAAAAAUCUGAGAAAAACAGAAAGGAAAGAAAAAGAAGCCGUUGGGAUAGCUAAUAGUAGUUGAAAAUAUUUGUUUUAAUUUCCAGAAUGGAAAUCUGAGGUGCUGAAAUCUUCAUGGAAGGAUUUGUAUUGUAUAUUUGUAAAUAUACUUUUAGUGCUAUAGUUGAUAUUUGCUAUGUGAAUAGUAAUAAUAAUUAUAAAUCAGAAAUUUGAUUUAAUAAAAUAUCUUUGACCAUCAA